rnacentral:rRNA from 1 species
AGCUCCAAUAGCGUAUAUUAAAGUUGCUGCAGUUAAAAAGCUCGUAGUUGGAUCUCGGGUUUAGGCCGGCGGUUCACCUCAUUGGUGACGACUGCCUGUCCUGACCUACCUGCCGGUUUUCCCCUGGUGCUCUUCGCUGAGUGUCUGGGGUGGCUGGAACGUUUACUUUGAAAAAAUUAGAGUGUUCAAAGCAGGCCUGUCUAGCCUGAAUAAUAGUGCAUGGAAUAAUGGAAGAGGACCUCGGUUCUAUUUUGUUGGUUUUCGGAACUUGAGGUAAUGAUUAAGAGGGACUGACGGGGGCAUUCGUAUUACGGUGUUAGAGGUGAAAUUCUUGGAUCGUCGUAAGACGAACUACUGCGAAAGCAUUUGCCAAGAAUGUUUUCA